GGAGCUGGGCCUUCCCCCACCCCGCCAAGUCUCGCGGUCUCCGCAGGCGCGGAGAGCACGAGCCUCUCGCCCCUAGCGGAGCAGCUGCGAGCUUUCAGCGGGACAGCAGGUGGUGGACACCAGCCGCCCCUUCCCAGCCUGCGCCCCGAUGCUGCGCGCCCUGACCCUGCGCCUGCCAGGCCCCUGGAGGCGCCCCCCAACCCGCGGCUGCGCCUCGGGCGCGGCGGCCGGGGACCCGGAGAUCCAAGUGCGCGCCCUGGCCGCCGCAGACCAAGGAAUCACUGAGAUUCUGAUGAACAGACCGAGUGCCUGCAAUGCCCUGGGGAAUGUCUUGGUCAGCCAGCUGCUAGAAGCUCUGGCCCAGCUUCGGGAGGACCGGCAAGUGCGUGUCCUGCUCUUCAGAAGUGGAGUGAAGGGUGUAUUCUGUGCAGGUGCAGACCUGAAGGAGCGGGAGCAGAUGAGUGAGGCGGAGGUAGGGGUCUUCGUACACCGGCUCCGAGGCUUGAUGAAUGAGAUUGCGGCCUUCCCUGCGCCCACCAUUGCAGCUAUGGAUGGGUUUGCCUUGGGUGGAGGCCUGGAACUUGCCCUGGCCUGUGAUCUCCGAGUGGCAGCAGCUUCCUCAGCUGUCAUGGGGCUGAUUGAGACCACCAGAGGGCUCCUCCCAGGAGCAGGAGGGACUCAGAGGCUGCCUCGAUGCCUGGGGGUGGCCCUGGCAAAGGAACUCAUCUUCACUGGUCGACGCCUGAGUGGGGCGCAGGCCCAGGCCCUGGGGCUGGUGAACCAUGCUGUGGCCCCGAAUAAGGAGGGCGACGCUGCCUACCACCGGGCACUGGCACUGGCCCAGGAGAUCCUGCCCCAGGCCCCCAUUGCUGUGCGGCUGGGCAAAGUAGCCAUUGACCGAGGAAUAGAGACCUGAGCUGGGAACUGGAACACAGAGAUGAGUCAGACAUGGUCAUCACCCCCAGUUUGGGGAAGGGGACAGAGAGACACACAAAUCACUAAUAAAAGGUGGACAUUGCAUCAGGGAUGGCCAUUGAAGGGAUAUGCUACGCCCAGAAUAUUCCCACCCGGGACCGACUAGAGGGCAUGGCAGCCUUCAGGGAGAAGCGGCCCCCCCAAUUUCUUGGCGAGUGACUCCCACUUAACUUUAAGCAUGAAGAUGCGUGUCUGAAAGGGCAAGAUCUAGAAGGAAAAUUUGAGUGUGACUAUCCUCAUCAUCUCACCUCUCUGGGCUUCAGUUUCCUCACAAGGACAAUGAUGGGUAUAAAAUGACUGGCAUGGUGCCUGGUACUAAGGUGCUGACCCUGCCACCCACUGCUUCCUGUAUCAUUUCUCUCCCUGGCUGGACAGUCGCUGGGGAUGUAUUUGCUUUGGAGAAAACCUCUCUCUCCCUACUCUACUGAUAAACUAAGGAUUAAAAAACAGACUCUCUGGACCUUUGUAUGGCUGGCUCUCAGGCCUGACCUCUGCCUUUCAGUUAGCAGGUGCUCACCAGAGAUGGCGGGAGGUUAUACAAAUGUCCUGAUUGCUUUCCUGUACAGUAGAGAUAAUAAGGACACCCUGGUAGUAGUUGAACAGGCAUCAGGAAUGAGACUGCAGAUCCCAGCUCUCUGCCAGUUACUCACUGUGUGGCUCUAUUUAUCUGCAAAAUGAAACUGUUGUGAUUUAAAAAAUGUCUCAUGUUCAAUAAACCUGUGUUAUUAUUAGUGUA